rnacentral:rRNA from 1 species
AUUGAACGCUGGCGGCAUGCCUUACACAUGCAAGUCGAACGGUAACAGGACUUCGUAUGCUGACGAGCGGCGAACGGGGGCGUAAUACAUCGGAACGUGCCCGAUCGUGGGGGAUAACGAGGCGAAAGCUUUGCUAAUACCGCAUACGAUCUACGGAUUAAAGCGGGGGAUCUUCGGACUUCGCGCGGGCGGUGCGGCCGCUGGCAGAUUAGGUAGUUGGUGGGAUAAAAGCUUACCAAGCCGACGAUCUGUAGCUGGUCUGAGAGGAUGAUCAGCCACACUGGGACUGAGACACGGCCCAGACUCCUACGGGAGGCAGCAGUGGGGAAUUUUGGACAAUGGGCGAAAGCCUGAUCCAGCAAUGCCGCGUGCAGGAUGAAGGCCUUCGGGUUGUAAACUGCUUUUGUACGGAACGAAAAGCCUCUUUCUAAUAAAGAGGGGUCAUGACGGUACCGUAAGAAUAAGCACCGGCUAACUACGUG